GGUCAGAAGAUGGAGUCAGUAGGACGGAGUUCAAGGUCACCCUCAGCUAUCUACCAAGUUCAGGGCUGCCUUGUGCCAAAUGAGACCCUGUCUCAAAAAUGUGUAAAACAGGAAUGAUGAUACUGAGCACUGUGGGACACACCUAUAAUUCCAGUAUUUGGGAGGCAGAGGCAGGAAGACCAGGAGUCCAAGGCCAGCCUGGGUUACAAGAGACCCUAUCUAAAAUCAACAGCAAGAAAGAUGAUAAAUAUUGAAGGGAUAGAAGACCCAUUUAAUUGAAAACUAUUUUACCGUAUCUUGUGAGUCUUUAGCUGAUGGUUGAGGAAACAAAGAAAUAGCCUCAACUGACAAAUACCCUGGGACAAGAACAUCUUUACCAAUGUUAAACCAGGAACAGAGGGAACUCCACCUCAACGGAGUCACUUUGUGCAGAAGAGGGCGUCACCUAAUCCCAGCACUGGGAGGCAGAGACAGGAGAAUCCUGCCAGCCAAUCAGUGAGCUCCAGGUUCACUGAGAAACCCUGUCUCAAAAAAAUAAGGCAGAGGGGCUGGAGUCCAGCAGUUAAGAGCACUGACUGCUCUUCCAGAGGGCCCAGGUUCUAUCCUCAGCAUCCACAAGACAGCUCACAACCAUUUCCAGUCCCAGCACCAGAGGAUCCCACGCUAUCUCUCAUCUCCAGGAGCACUGUCUGCAAGUGGUACACAGUCAUACAUGCAGGCAAAACACUCACAGACACAAAAACUACAACAACAACAACAAUAAUAAUAAUAAAAUACAGAGAGAUAGUAAAAGACACCAGACCUUGACCUCUGCAUACAGCUGCAUACAUAUAUAAGCAUAUGCACACCUACACUUUACAGAGAGAGAGAGAAAUUAUGGCCUUUCAAGAUUGAUUAGAAGUCAUCACUUAAGGCUGUCUUGCAUUUAGAAUUUGUCUGAAAGCCAGCAAGAUGGCUCAGUGGUAAAGGCCUCCAAACCAGACAGUCUGAAUUUGGUACCCAGAGCUCACAUGGUAGAAGGGAGACCAGACUCCCACAAGUUGUCCUUUGACCACACAUGUGUGCUAUGAUGCGUGGGUGCGAGUGUGUAUACGUGCACAUACACACACACAAAUAAAUGUUUUAAAAAAUUGUUUGGGUGAUAACCUCAGAAAACCUUUGUUUCUGGCAAGAGCUCUGAACCCAAGUUGCCAGAAAUUACUCUGAUCUUUGAAAAAUCAAUCAGUAAGAGGAUGAAUCGUCUUCCGAAGUGUGCUCUGAGUAUCUGCAAUUGAGCAUUGAUGUUCAUAUGGAUUUUGAGGUAAUAUCCAUUGCAAAGACAAUGCAUUUAACCAGAUAAUCCAAAGUGGACCUUUCCCACCUAAUUAGCGUUUCCAUAAGUUACUAAGGCAGACUGAUAAGUUUACCUCCUGUUCGUAUGCAUUUAUGGUAUGUGGAGGUAUUUCAAGAUUUAGGGAGCUUUUUCUUAGCAGGUAGCUUACCUAGCUUGUAGCCGCAGCAGCAUCCAGCACUGGGAGGUGGAGAUAGAAGAGAUCAGGAGAUAGAAGUCCUCCUAGGAUACACAGGGAGAUUUGGUACCUGGGCUACAUGAAACCCUCCCUGUCUCAGAGAGAGGGCGUGGCGAGGGGGAGCAGAAAUAGAUGCUCUCAUAAGGACCCUCCCUACCAGUAUUACAUGGUCUUCUACCUCGUUUGGUUUGGUCUUAUGCUUUUGGUUCUGUUGUCAAUCACAUGGCUCCACCAGUCCCUUGACUUGUUUUCAAAUCUCACUAUGAGCAAGGCACCGAUCAUCUUUGCCGCCGAACCCUUUCUUAUGCCCACAAAACUGAUACGGCUCUGAAAGUCCAGAGUCUGCCCAUGGUAAGUCCCUCCCUUCUGUGAAGAUUCAUCCCAGUAAGGCAGUGGACUCUUUGCCUUCUCUGGGUUUCGUUUUCCCAAUUAAUUGGUUAAUGACGGGUACACAAAGAAACACGUUUUUCAGUUUUGAACUUGUACUUAAGUGGGACUGCUUCGUAUUCCUUUCCAGGUGUGUUUGUGGUUAAGAAAUACUGACAAUCAGUCGUUGAAGUUGUGGGGGUUUGGUCUUGCAGAAUGUGUUAUUGUUGACUAAGUCCCUUCUGUCUUUACCCUAAAGAAGCAUUCUUUUAUUGCUUGUCAAUAACCUGCUUUCUAAAAGAGCGUGUCCUUGCUUGCCCGGCCUGCAGCUUAGCCUUCUCCAUACUUACAUUGCUUGUGGACAGCAUUCUGAUGGACGACUCCAGGGCUGACAGGAGCAUCUUGAGUUCAAUAAAAUAGCCCAGGCCUAGAUUUUGGGCCACACUCCACCUCAGCCCCUGACCAUACUGAAUUAAAUCAUGAGCUCUGGCAGGUCUGCCCUUUGGAAGCAAAGAAAACCUCACAUGACACUCGAUUGAGAUUU
rnacentral:lncRNA from 1 species